GACAUAAAUACUUCAGAGGACUGGUCCGGUUUGUGUUUGGUGGCUAACACAUGUGGAGUUUGUUUCUAUUUUGCUUUUAAGCUAUAGAAAGGUUUUUUCGGUGUGCUCUGUGUGUAUUUGUGCUGUUUGUGAGCGUCUUGUUCGUAUUGUGUUUGUCUAAGUGUCACAUAGAAGGCACCGGAAUCCUGCCGAAAAACCACUAGUAUUCCAGACAAUUAUAUUUCACAGUGCCCAUGUGUGGUCAUUACACGACACUGGCAGAAAUUGCUAAAACAGUUAGCAGAUUGCCAUAAGCAAAAAAAAAAAAAAAAAAAAAAAGGAAUAAGUUUUAAAAUCCUUGUUGUUGAUGGAUUUUGGACUUUUAAAUCGGUUAAAAUGUGGUAAAAUCUCGUUGUAAGUGUGUGGAUAUGUGUGGUUAAACGUUGCCUUUUGGAUGAAAGUUUUAAGAUUCAAAACGUCAAGGAUGAAUAAAAAUAAGACGUAAAA